UGAGUAACCUGCCCUUCACUCUGGGAUAACUCCGGGAAACCGGGGCUAAUACUGGAUAUGACUCGAACAGGCAUCUGUUUCGGGUGGAAAGAUUUAUUGGUGGAGGAUGGACUCGCGGCCUAUCAGCUUGUUGGUGAGGUAAUGGCUCACCAAGGCGACGACCGGUAGCCGGCCUGAGAGGGCGAUCGGCCACACUGGGACUGAGACACGGCCCAGACUCCUACGGGNGCA
rnacentral:rRNA from 1 species